rnacentral:rRNA from 1 species
UACAGAGGGGGGCAAGCGUUGUUCGGAAUUACUGGGCGUAAAAGGGGCGCGUAGGCGGCCGCCCUAAGUCAGACGUGAAAUCCCUCGGCUCAACCGGGGAACUGCGUCCGAUACUGGUUGGCUUGAGUUUGGGGAGAGGGAUGCGGAAAUUCCAGGUGUAGCGGUGAAAAUGCGUAGAUAUCUGGAGGAACACCGGGUGGCGAAGGCGGCAUCCUGGACCAAAUAUGAC